rnacentral:rRNA from 1 species
CCUACGGGAGGCAGCAGUGGGGAAUAUUGCACAAUGGGCGCAAGCCUGAUGCAGCCAUGCCGCGUGUGUGAAGAAGGCCUUCGGGUUGUAAAGCACUUUCAGCGGGGCGGAAGGCGGUGAGGUUAAUAACCUCAUCGAUUGACGUUACCCGCAGAAGAAGCACCGGCUAACUCCGUGCCAGCAGCCGCGGUAAUACGGAGGGUGCAAGCGUUAAUCGGAAUUACUGGGCGUAAAGCGCACGCAGGCGGUCUGUCAAGUCGGAUGUGAAAUCCCCGGGCUCAACCUGGGAACUGCAUUCGAAACUGGCAGGCUAGAGUCUUGUAGAGGGGGGUAGAAUUCCAGGUGUAGCGGUGAAAUGCGUAGAGAUCUGGAGGAAUACCGGUGGCGAAGGCGGCCCCCUGGACAAAGACUGACGCUCAGGUGCGAAAGCGUGGGGAGCAAACAGGAUUAGAUACCCGAGUAGUC